rnacentral:rRNA from 1 species
GAUGAACGCUGGCGGCGUGCCUAAUACAUGCAAGUCGAGCGAACGGACGAGAAGCUUGCUUCUCUGAUGUUAGCGGCGGACGGGUGAGUAACACGUGGAUAACCUACCUAUAAGACUGGGAUAACUUCGGGAAACCGUAGCUAAUACCGGAUAAUAUUUUGAACCGCAUGGUUCAAAAGUGAAAGACGGUCUUGCUGUCACUUAUAGAUGGAUCCGCGCUGCAUUAGCUAGUUGGUAAGGUAACGGCUUACCAAGGCAACGAUGCAUAGCCGACCUGAGAGGGUGAUCGGCCACACUGGAACUGAGACACGGUCCAGACUCCUACGGGAGGCAGCAGUAGGGAAUCUUCCGCAAUGGGCGAAAGCCUGACGGAGCAACGCCGCGUGAGUGAUGAAGGUCUUCGGAUCGUAAAACUCUGUUAUUAGGGAAGAACAUAUGUGUAAGUAACUGUGCACAUCUUGACGGUUCCAAUCAGAAAGCCACGGCUAACUACGUG